rnacentral:rRNA from 1 species
AUGGAGGCGGACGGCGCCGCCGCCGCAGCGGCUACAAAGGGGAGGGAGGCGGAGAUCAUGGAGGCCCUCCGCGCCCGCGUCCCCUUCUUCAAGAAGCAGGCCGACUCCUUGACUCUUGAAGGUGUGAGGAGAACAUUGGAGAAGGACAUGGACUUGAAGAUAAAUUCACUUGAUCCUCAUAAAAAGUUCAUUAGGCAAUGUGUAGACAAGGUGUUUUCUGGUUGUGACAAUGGGAAUACUGAUAAUGCAUCAGAGAGGGCUGAAGCUAAAGUGGAUAACUUAUCAGAAGAUGCCCAACCAAUGUCGGUCUCAAACAAAAUCUCCUCCAGUCCUGAUGAGCAGGGGGCAAGAUCCAGUAAAACCAAUAAAGACCCGGAGGGGGUGAAAAAUCACAGUUCUGGUAGUGAUAUCACCGAAGCUAUGAUAAAGAAAGCUAUUGACAAAAGGGCUUCCUAUUUUAGAGAGAACUCAGAAACUCUUACUCUACUAGGAGUUCGACGGACUUUAGAAGAAGACCUCAAACUUGAGAGGAAAGCUUUGGAUGCUUUUAAGGAUUUUAUUACGAAAGAGUUAGAUAGAGUUUUGCAAGAACCUGAAAAUGGAACAACGGAUCAUAGUAAACAGGAGGCUUGCAAGGAUGCUGGUCAGAAAACAAGUAAAGGCUCUAAAAGAGCUCGUCAAGACUUUGAUACCUCUGAACUAAAUAAUAGUCAUAGUGAGAAGGAAGACAGUGAUGAGGAUGUAAGGCCAAUAAAGAAGAAACAACAGGCAGCUCCAGCCCAUGGCAAACGAGUAGAACGUCUUAAGUCAGUAAUAAAAUCUUGUGGAAUGAGUGUGCCACCUUCUGUGUAUCGGAGGGCAAAGCAGGCGCCGGAGAGCAAGCGCGAGGCUUGUUUGAUAAAGGAGUUGGAGGAUAUGCUUGAAAAGGAAGGAUUGUCUUCACACCCUUCUGAGAAAGAAAUUAAAGCAGUGAGAAAAAGAAAGGAAAGAGCAAAGGAUCUUGAGGGCAUAGACAUGAGCAAUAUUAUUACGAGUUCUCGUAGGAGAAAUGCAUCUAGUUUUAUACCCCUGCCAGUGCCUAAAAUUGAAGCUGAUAGUGACAGCGAUGAUGAUGAUGAUGAUGAUGAUGAUGAUGAUGAUGAUGAUGAUGAUGAUGAUGAUGAUGAUGAUGAUGAUGAUGAUGAUGAUGAUGAUGAUGAUGAUGAUGAUGAUGGUGAAGAGGAGAAUGUGGAGGGUGGAGAUAAAGGUGACGACGACGAUGCAGAAGCUGGAGAUGGAUCUGCUGAUGAUGCUGGAAACGGGAGCGAUUGA